rnacentral:lncRNA from 1 species
UUCUUUUUUAAGUCUUUUGUUAAUUUUUUAGAACAUUUUUUUAAUGACAUUUAUAAAGAAAAUAAGUUUAAAGAUUGUUUUACGAUGUUAGGAUUUUUUUAUUUAUUCCAGAAGCAAUUGUACACAUUUAUCAACAUGAUUCAAGAGAAUGGAAGAUUAAAGAAACAAGUAAUAUGAAAAUUGAUUAAUUUGGGUAAAAUUAGUAUACAGUAUGGAUUUCUUAUGUUUGAACGGGUGUGGAAAAAAGGUUAGAGGAUGAUAGAUUUGUGGCAACAGAAGCAAAAAGAAAUAGAAGAAAAGAUUUGAAGAAUUAAAAGAAAAAUAAAUAAAUAAUUGUUAAAAAUAUGUAAUAUUCAUAUGUCUGCAAAAGAACCAAACGUUUAAAAUAAAGCAUAUAAAAUAAGAUUAUUUUAUAUUUUGUUAUCUUUUAAACUUAAAACCAAUCCAGUAAAAAAUAAGAAGGAAAAAAAUUACAAAUCUAAGUUGGGUAUCUUCAAUGGGUAUUCUAUUUUGUCUUUUAAACUUGAAACCAAUCCAGUAAAAAUUAAGAAAAAAAAAUUAAAAAUCUAUCUUCA